rnacentral:rRNA from 1 species
UACAGGGGGUGCAAGCGUUGCUCGGAAUCAUUGGGCGUAAAGCGCACGUAGGCGGUCUGUUAUGUCGGAUGUGAAAGCCCUUGGCUUAACUGAGGAAGUGCAUCCGAAACUGGCAGGCUAGAGUACUAAAGAGGGUCGCGGAAUUCCCGGUGUAGAGGUGAAAUUCGUAGAUAUCUGGAGGAAUACCGGUGGCGAAGGCGGCAUCCUGGACCGACAUUGACGCUGAAGCGCGAAAGCUAGGGGAGCAAACGGG